UAAUAGGUUGUUUGCAUUAGAAUUCACGAAUAUGGUGCAUUGCAUAAUACGAUGAAAAUGAUGUGGAUGAAUAUUGAAUGAUCCUCUAGCCCGCAGUACGAUAUGAUAUGAUAUGAUAUGACAUGAUGUGACAUGAGAUGGAAAGACUAGGUGUGGCCUAAUCGCCCCUGGCAAUAUGUUAUAAGUAAGAAAAGACCAGGCGUGGCCUAAUCGCCCCUGGCAUAGUUGGACAUGUUAUGAUAUGAGCUAUGUAAGA
rnacentral:lncRNA from 1 species